ACCAACAAUUGUUCUGGACUGAUGCUGAUCUUGUCUGAUCUCAGAAAUUAAGCAGGUUUAGGCCUGGUUAGCAUUUGGGUGGAGGAUUCUGUGGGAAUAACAAGUGCUGUGGAUU
rnacentral:rRNA from 1 species